UACGUAGGUGGCAAGCGUUGUCCGGAUUUACUGGGCGUAAAGCGUGCGUAGGCGGCUCGCUAAGUCGGUUGUGAAAUCCCUGGGCUUAACCUGGGAACUGCAGUCGAUACUGGCGGACUAGAGUACGGUAGAGGGUGGCGGAACUCCGGGUGUAGCGGUGAAAUGCGUAGAUAUCCGGAAGAACACCGAUGGCGAAGGCAACCACCUGGGCCUGUACUGACGCUGAGGUACGAAAGCGUGGGGAGCAAACAGG
rnacentral:rRNA from 1 species